AGCGUACACGGUGGAUGCCCUGGCAGUCAGAGGCGAUGAAGGACGUGCUAAUCUGCGAAAAGCGCCGGCGAGGUGAUAUGAACCCUUGACCCGGCGAUGUCCGAAUGGGGAAACCCAGUGCAAUCCGUUGCACUAUCGUUAACUGAAUACAUAGGUUAACGAGGCGAACCGGGGGAACUGAAACAUCUAAGUACCCCGAGGAAAAGAAAUCAACCGAGAUUCCCCCAGUAGCGGCGAGCGAACGGGGAGCAGCCCGGAGUCUGAAUCAGCUUGUGUGUUAGUGGAACGGUCUGGAAAGUCCGACGGUACAGGGUGAUAGUCCCGUACACGAAAGCACACUUGCUGUGAACUCGAAGAGUAGGGCGGGACACGUGGUAUCCUGUCUGAAUAUGGGGGGACCAUCCUCCAAGGCUAAAUACUCCUGACUGACCGAUAGUGAACCAGUACCGUGAGGGAAAGGCGAAAAGAACCCCGGCGAGGGGAGUGAAAAAGAACCUGAAACCGUGUACGUACAAGCAGUGGGAGCCUCUUUAUGGGGUGACUGCGUACCUUUUGUAUAAUGGGUCAGCGACUUAUAUUCUGUAGCAAGGUUAACCGUAUAGGGGAGCCGAAGGGAAACCGAGUCUUAACUGGGCGUUAAGUUGCAGGGUAUAGACCCGAAACCCGGUGAUCUAGCCAUGGGCAGGUUGAAGGUUGGGUAACACUAACUGGAGGACCGAACCGACUAAUGUUGAAAAAUUAGCGGAUGACCUGUGGCUGGGGGUGAAAGGCCAAUCAAACCGGGAGAUAGCUGGUUCUCCCCGAAAGCUAUUUAGGUAGCGCCUCGUGAACUCAUCUUCGGGGGUAGAGCACUGUUUCGGCUAGGGGGCCAUCCCGGCUUACCAACCCGAUGCAAACUACGAAUACCGAAGAAUGUUAUCACGGGAGACACACGGCGGGUGCUAACGUCCGUCGUGAAGAGGGAAACAACCCAGACCGCCAGCUAAGGUCCCAAAGUCAUGGUUAAGUGGGAAACGAUGUGGGAAGGCACAGACAGCCAGGAUGUUGGCUUAGAAGCAGCCAUCAUUUAAAGAAAGCGUAAUAGCUCACUGGUCGAGUCGGCCUGCGCGGAAGAUGUAACGGGGCUAAACCAUGCACCGAAGCUGCGGCAGCGACACUAUGUGUUGUUGGGUAGGGGAGCGUUCUGUAAGCCGUUGAAGGUGUGCUGUGAGGCAUGCUGGAGGUAUCAGAAGUGCGAAUGCUGACAUAAGUAACGAUAAAGCGGGUGAAAAGCCCGCUCGCCGGAAGACCAAGGGUUCCUGUCCAACGUUAAUCGGGGCAGGGUGAGUCGACCCCUAAGGCGAGGCCGAAAGGCGUAGUCGAUGGGAAACAGGUUAAUAUUCCUGUACUUGGUGUUACUGCGAAGGGGGGACGGAGAAGGCUAUGUCAGCCGGGCGACGGUUGUCCCGGUUUAAGCAUGUAGGCGGAGGUUCCAGGUAAAUCCGGUACCUUUUAACGCUGAGGUGUGAUGACGAGGCACUACGGUGCUGAAGUGAUAAAUGCCCUGCUUCCAGGAAAAGCCUCUAAGCAUCAGGUAACACGAAAUCGUACCCCAAACCGACACAGGUGGUCAGGUAGAGAAUACCAAGGCGCUUGAGAGAACUCGGGUGAAGGAACUAGGCAAAAUGGUGCCGUAACUUCGGGAGAAGGCACGCUGAUGUGUAGGUGAAGCCCCUGCGGGCGGAGCUGAAAUCAGUCGAAGAUACCAGCUGGCUGCAACUGUUUAUUAAAAACACAGCACUGUGCAAACACGAAAGUGGACGUAUACGGUGUGACGCCUGCCCGGUGCCGGAAGGUUAAUUGAUGGGGUUAGCUGUAAGGCGAAGCUCUUGAUCGAAGCCCCGGUAAACGGCGGCCGUAACUAUAACGGUCCUAAGGUAGCGAAAUUCCUUGUCGGGUAAGUUCCGACCUGCACGAAUGGCGUAAUGAUGGCCAGGCUGUCUCCACCCGAGACUCAGUGAAAUUGAACUCGCUGUGAAGAUGCAGUGUACCCGCGGCAAGACGGAAAGACCCCGUGAACCUUUACUAUAGCUUGACACUGAACACUGGUCCUUGAUGUGUAGGAUAGGUGGGAGGCUUUGAAGCGUGGACGCCAGUCUGCGUGGAGCCAACCUUGAAAUACCACCCUUUAAUGGCUGGUGUUCUAACGUAGACCCGUAAUCCGGGUUGCGGACAGUGUCUGGUGGGUAGUUUGACUGGGGCGGUCUCCUCCCAAAGAGUAACGGAGGAGCACGAAGGUUGGCUAAUCCUGGUCGGACAUCAGGAGGUUAGUGCAAUGGCAUAAGCCAGCUUGACUGCGAGCGUGACGGCGCGAGCAGGUGCGAAAGCAGGUCAUAGUGAUCCGGUGGUUCUGAAUGGAAGGGCCAUCGCUCAACGGAUAAAAGGUACUCCGGGGAUAACAGGCUGAUACCGCCCAAGAGUUCAUAUCGACGGCGGUGUUUGGCACCUCGAUGUCGGCUCAUCACAUCCUGGGGCUGAAGUAGGUCCCAAGGGUAUGGCUGUUCGCCAUUUAAAGUGGUACGCGAGCUGGGUUUAGAACGUCGUGAGACAGUUCGGUCCCUAUCUGCCGUGGGCGCUGGAGAAUUGAGGGGGGCUGCUCCUAGUACGAGAGGACCGGAGUGGACGCAUCACUGGUGUUCGGGUUGUCAUGCCAAUGGCACUGCCCGGUAGCUAAAUGCGGAAGAGAUAAGUGCUGAAAGCAUCUAAGCACGAAACUUGCCCCGAGAUGAGUUCU
rnacentral:rRNA from 2 species